GUUAUAUGGUCAAGCGAAUAAGCGCAUAUGGUGGAUGCCUAGGCGGUAGAAGGCGAUGAAGGACGUGGUAGCCUGCGAAAAGCUUCGGGGAGCUGGCAAAUGAGCUUUGAUCCGGAGAUGUCCGAAUGGGGAAACCCACCGAGCAAUCGGUAUCAGUCACUGAAUACAUAGGUGCCUGAAGCGAACCUGGUGAAUUGAAACAUCUCAGUAACCAGAGGAAUAGAAAUCAACCGAGAUUCCCUAAGUAGUGGCGAGCGAACGGGGAACAGCCCAGUCGGGGUAAGUCGACGAGUGCUAGCAGAACGGUCUGGAAAGUCCGGCCACAGAAGGUGAUAGCCCUGUAUACGAAAGCAUGAAUCGAUGACCGACAAAGAGUAGGGCGGGACACGUGUAAUCCUGUCUGAACAUGGGGGGACCAUCCUCCAAGGCUAAAUACUCUCUACCGACCGAUAGUGAACCAGUACCGUGAGGGAAAGGCGAAAAGAACCCCGGAGAGGGGAGUGAAAUAGAACCUGAAACCGUAUGCGUACAAGCAGUCGGAGCUCCGCAAGGGGUGACGGCGUACCUUUUGUAUAAUGGGUCAGCGAGUUAUUUUCAGUGGCGAGGCUAACCGAAUAGGGGAGCCGUAGGGAAACCGAGUCUUAAUCGGGCGUCACAGUCGCUGGGAAUAGACCCGAAGCCAGUCGAUCUAUCCAUGUCCAGGGUGAAGGUCAGGUAACACUGACUGGAGGCCCGAACGAACCACUGUUGCAAUAGUGCGUCGAUGAGGUGUGGAUCGGAGUGAAAGGCUAAUCAAGGCUGGCGAUAGCUGGUUCUCCCCGAAAGCUAUUUAGGUAGUGCCUCGAGUGAUUACUCCGGGGGGUAGAGCACUGUUUGGGGAAGGGGGCCACCUCGGCCUACCAACCCCAUGCAAACUCCGAAUACCCGGAAGUACAGCUCGGGAGACACACGGCGGGUGCUAACGUCCGUCGUGAAGAGGGAAAUAACCCAGACCAUCAGCUAAGGUCCCAAAAUUUCGGCUAAGUGGUAAACGAUGUGAGAAGGCACAGACAGCCAGGAGGUUGGCUUAGAAGCAGCCAUCCUUUAAAGAAAGCGUAAUAGCUCACUGGUCUAGUCGGCUCGCGCGGAAGAUUUAACGGGGCUCAAGCCGAGUACCGAAGCUAUGGGUGCGUAGCAAUACGCGCGGUAGGGGAGCGUUCUCUAAGCCUGCGAAGGUGCACUGCGAGGUGUGCUGGAGGUAUGAGAAGUGCGAAUGCUGACAUGAGUAACGUUAAAACGGGUGAAAAACCCGUUCGCCGUAAACCCAAGGUUUCCCGCGCUACGUUAAUCGGCGCGGGGUUAGUCGGAUCCUAAGGCGAGGCCGAAAGGCGUAGUCGAUGGAAAGCUGGUCAAUAUUCCAGCACCGGCGGUCACUGCGAUGGGAUGACGGAGAAGGCUAGGCGAGCAGCAGCAGUGCUGUUCAAGGUCGUAGGGAGAGUCUCCUGGCAAAUCCGGAGGCUCGUUAAUCCCGAGAACUGAGUACGAGGGAGCUUCGGCUCCCGAAGUCGUUGAUGCCACGCUUCCAGGAAAAGUCUCUAAGCUUCAGGUGAUCGUUGUCCGUACCGUAAACCGACUCUGGUGGGUGGGGAGUAAUCUCCCAAGGCGCUUGAGAGAACUCGGGUUAAGGAACUCUGCAAAUUGAUACCGUAACUUCGGGAGAAGGUAUGCCUGUUCGGGUGACUGGAUUUACUUUAGAAGCCCAGACAGGCCGCAGGUAAUCGGUGGCUGCGACUGUUUAUCAAAAACACAGGACUCUGCGAACACGUAAGUGGAUGUAUAGGGUCUGACGCCUGCCCGGUGCCGGAAGGUUAAUUGAUGGGGUUAGUCGCAAGGCGAAGCUCCUGAUCGAAGCCCCGGUAAACGGCGGCCGUAACUAUAACGGUCCUAAGGUAGCGAAAUUCCUUGUCGGGUAAGUUCCGACCUGCACGAAUGGCGUAACGCUGGCCACACUGUCUCGACCCGAGACUCAGUGAAGUUGAAAUCGCUGUGAAGAUGCGGCGUAGCUGCGGAAAGACGGAAAGACCCCGUGAACCUUUACUACAGCUUUACACUGAACUUUGACUUUGUUUGUGUAGGAUAGGUGGGAGCCUUUGAAGCAGGGGCGCUAGCUCUUGUGGAGGCAACCUUGAAAUACCACCCUGACAAAUUCGGAGUUCUAACCUAGGCCCGUCAUCCGGGUCGGGGACAAUGUAUGGUGGGUAGUUUGACUGGGGCGGUCUCCUCCCAAAGAGUAACGGAGGAGUGCAAAGGUACCCUCAGCGCGGUCGGUCAUCGCGCACAGAGUGCAAUGGCAUAAGGGUGCUUGACUGCGAGACGUACAUGUCGAGCAGGUGCGAAAGCAGGUCAUAGUGAUCCGGUGGUUCUGUAUGGAAGGGCCAUCGCUCAACGGAUAAAAGGUACUCCGGGGAUAACAGGCUUAUUCCUCCCAAGAGUCCACAUCGACGGAGGAGUUUGGCACCUCGAUGUCGGCUCAUCACAUCCUGGGGCUGUAGCAGGUCCCAAGGGUUCGGCUGUUCGCCGAUUAAAGUGGUACGCGAGCUGGGUUCAAAACGUCGUGAGACAGUUUGGUCCCUAUCUUCCGUAGCCGUUGGAGAUUUGAGGGUGAGCUGUCCUUAGUACGAGAGGACCGGGAUGGACGCACCUCUGGUGUUCCGGUUGUCACGCCAGUGGCACUGCCGGGUAGCUAUGUGCGGACGGGAUAACCGCUGAAAGCAUCUAAGCGGGAAGCCCCCCCCAAGACCAGAUCUCCCUGGGAGCUUGACUCCCCUGAAGGGCCCAAGAAGACUACUUGGUUGAUAGGCCGGGUGUGUACAGCCAGUAAUGGCUUCAGCUAACCGGUACUAAUUGCCCGUGAGGCUUGACCAUAUAACCCCAAGCAGUU
rnacentral:rRNA from 1 species